UUGCUUAGCAACCCAGACAAAUGUCAAGAGUCUUACCAGAUGCAGAUGAUGCUCUGGGGAAGAGACUGCUCUCACUAGGUCACUGAGAGAAGAGGAAACAUACACAAAGCUGCAUGAAAAAGAUAAUUCACUUUAUCAGUGCAACAGAAGUUUCAUAACAACGUAACUCCAGCAGGACACCUCCAUAUGAAUGGCUUUCCAUAGCACCACACUGGGCAGAUUGCCAGCAAGUUCUACCAGCUUAGCACCACAGUGACUUCUCUGUCAUCUGGUGAGCCUAUGAUCGCCAAUAAAGGUCUGGAUCUCAGCCUGGGCUCUCUUCCUUGGAUCUAUGCUGAACCUAACUGGAAACUGGGUGGCAAGAGUUGAUACAGUCCACACAGGUCGGCCUCCUGGGCAGAGAUCAGAGUAGGACAGGAUGAAGAACACAUCUGGAGGGUCAAAGAGAAGCUAUGACACAGGUACAGACGGAGUUUCACCAUGUUGGCCAGGCUCCAGGCUGGUCUUGAACUCCUGACUUCCGGUGAUCCACCUGCCUCCACCUCUCAAAGUGCUGGGAUUACAAGCGUGAGCCACCACACCUGGUCGCAUGUUGGUUUUUAUUAAUGACACUAGGUUAAAUUACAAAAUAACUUAGAAAAAAAUGACAUCUUAUGAUUGCUAUGUCUUCAGAACAUUGUUACAAACAUCUAUAUAUGCAAAAAAUUCCACUAC
rnacentral:lncRNA from 1 species